CAGUAGCCGCGGUAAUACGUAGGGUGCAAGCGUUAAUCGGAAUUACUGGGCGUAAAGCGUGCGUAGGCGGCUUUUUAAGUCGGAUGUGAAAUCCCUGAGCUUAACUUAGGAAUUGCAUUCGAUACUGGGAAGCUAGAGUAUGGGAGAGGAUGGUAGAAUUCCAGGUGUAGCGGUGAAAUGCGUAGAGAUCUGGAGGAAUACCGAUGGCGAAGGCAGCCAUCUGGCCUAAUACUGACGCUGAGGUACGAAAGCAUGGGGAGCAAACAGGAUUAGAUACCCCUGUAGUCCCUGUCUCUUAUAU
rnacentral:rRNA from 1 species